rnacentral:rRNA from 1 species
GACGAACGCUGGCGGCGUGCCUAAUACAUGCAAGUAGAACGCUGAAGGAAGGAGCUUGCUCUUUCUGGAUGAGUUGCGAACGGGUGAGUAACGCGUAGGUAACCUGCCUGGUAGCGGGGGAUAACUAUUGGAAACGAUAGCUAAUACCGCAUAAAAUUGAUUAUUGCAUGAUAGUCAAUUAAAAGGUGCAACUGCACCACUACCAGAUGGACCUGCGUUGUAUUAGCUAGUUGGUGGGGUAACGGCUCACCAAGGCGACGAUACAUAGCCGACCUGAGAGGGUGAUCGGCCACACUGGGACUGAGACACGGCCCAGACUCCUACGGGAGGCAGCAGUAGGGAAUCUUCGGCAAUGGACGGAAGUCUGACCGAGCAACGCCGCGUGAGUGAAGAAGGUUGUCGGAUCGUAAAGCUCGGUUGUAAGAGAAGAACGAGUGUGAGAGUGGAAAGUUCACACUGUGACGGUAUCUUACCAGAAAGGGACGGCUAACUACGUG